GAAGUGCGACAAGUGUCAUGACUUGCAGAUUCCCGAGAGCUGACAAAUUUCUGAAUGCAAAUGGCGGCCGCCUAAAACGGCCAUGUAUUGCAGAGUGUAGUUGUUCAAACUCAUCAUCCCCUAUAACCAUACGGUAGGCUAUAGGAUUGGGAUCUGCGCUUAGGAGCUCCGCCCUGAGUGUUAAAACUGGAGCGUCCCGGAUGACCGAGAGUCCUAGACCCUUGGUCUCCUGGCGGCUUCGAAAAGACUUGAUGUCACGACGAAGUUAUGCUCUAAUCAUAUAGGCAGCCACCUCUGCGAUGCAGGAAUACCCGCUGAACUUAA
rnacentral:misc_RNA from 1 species